CGACUAAUGUGAUAGUACUCCUGUUCAAGGGUGAGAGAAUAGUGCGCUCCUAUUUAACGCGAGAAGAAAGAGGCAACAUGGUCAUUAGUCAUUCUUCACUGCCAGCUGGUGUUACUUUUGCAAUCUUGUUCACAUCCUAGGACUUGGACGCAUCAGGAUCUCUUGGCCAAGUAUGCGGAUGUGUGGUAGUGACCAGGCUAGCAUACACUCCGCGUAUUUUUGUGCAAUGUGACACUGUACACAGUAGGUUGGGUCCCUCCUUGAGUAAUGAGGAGAGGUGCCUCCUACUCUCAUGACCCCCUAAUUGUUUUGGCAGACAUCUUCUCCUUGUUGUCGAUGCGGUUGUAGUGACAUUUGAUAGUCAUUUCUUCUCAAGAACGAGAUGAUUUUCAAAGCUCCUAGAUCUAUCCACACGUGGUAAAGCCGACAAGAGAAUGUGAAGUGUUGCUUGCUGACGUAGUGUGAGCGUGGUUAGGUUACGUUCAUGCAUCAAUGAAAUAGCAC
rnacentral:lncRNA from 1 species